UACGGAGGGAGCUAGCGUUGUUCGGAAUUACUGGGCGUAAAGCGCACGUAGGCGGCGACUCAAGUCAGAGGUGAAAGCCCGGGGCUCAACCCCGGAACUGCCUUUGAAACUAGGUCGCUAGAAUCUUGGAGAGGUCAGUGGAAUUCCGAGUGUAGAGGUGAAAUUCGUAGAUAUUCGGAAGAACACCAGUGGCGAAGGCGACUGACUGGACAAGUAUUGACGCUGAGGUGCGAAAGCGUGGGGAGCAAACAGGG
rnacentral:rRNA from 1 species